CACCGCGAAUUCUACAGAUUACCAGUUCCCACAACACAGCUGGCCAAGAUUUCCAAACUGCUUUUAACACUGGAAAAAGGACAUCUUUCCCAGAUCCAGGGGAAAUCACUGGAUGAGAUCGAAAUUGAAGAUGAAAUUGCAUUAAGUGAUGCUGAAACAAAGGACAGUGAGAGUGAAUCAGAUGAUGAUGACACAGCACUCACAAUGUCAGCGUGUGGCACCAGUGAGGCUGUACAUGCAGUAGCUGAUUCCACAAACACAGCGCAGCUCCAAGACACUGUAGAUUAUGGUAAGUUACCACUAGCUUGGUUUCUGUGGAUAAAAUGUUUGUUACAAAUAUUAAAACUUAAUCAAAUUGUGUAAUCAGCAGAUGAAGAACCACUCAUAAUGCCUGCAGCAAGUGAGACUGCUGCUCCCUCUGAAGAUAAAAAUGCUGCUCAAUCCCACAAUUCCCGAAGAGCUCCCAAAAACAUGUGGUCCAAGGCUGAGGUUGCUGCAGUGAUGAGGCAUUUUAAAGACCACAUAAACGAAGGGAAACUGGCCACCAAAAAUGAAUGCAGUCAUUGCAAAUUGGUAGAAGAUCCGGUGUUGGCAGGAAGAACAGUUCAAAACAUAAGAGAUUUUGUAAGAAACAGAGGAUUAACUGCAAAAAGGCAGAAAAAAAUGAACUAAAAUAACUGUUUAGCCAGAUGUGGUUUUACAUCUUGGUCAGAUUGCCGAACUGUUGUUAAAACUGACUUAUUGUGCAGCAGGCUGCCUCACUGAUGUUCUGUUUAAAGAAAAAAAAGUUCUUGUUAAUUACAGAAGUAGUUUGUAUUUCAUAAUUUUUAAAUUUAAUUUAUUUAGUUUUUUUUGACAGGUUCUUAUUUUAAUAUAUUUUUUUGACAGGUUAUAUUUAAAAUAAAAA